GGUAGGCUUAAUACAUGCAAGUCGGACGGUAAUUAGUUUAGCUUGCUUUUCCUAGAUAUGGGCGCAAGGGUGCUUAACACGUAUGCAACCUACCUAGUUCAGUGGGAUAGCCUCUCGAAAGAGAGACUAAGACCGCAUAACAUAUACACCACGGCAUCGUGAAAUGAUCAAAUAUUUUCAGGAUCAAGAUGGCCAUGCGGAACAUUAGCUAGUUGGUGGGGUAACGGCUUACCAAGGCUAGGAUGACUAGGGGGACCUGAGAGGAUGAUCCCCCACACUGGCACUGAGAUACGGACCAGACUCCUACGGGAGGCAGCAGUAAGGAAUAUUGGUCAAUGGAGGGAAGCCUGAACCAGCCAUCCCGCGUGCAGGAAGACGGAUCUACGGGUUGUAAACUGCUUUAACAUUUUAAGAAACCUCAUUAGGUGUAAUUAAUUGAAUGUACUCUGAGAAUAA
rnacentral:rRNA from 1 species